UUUUUUUCCUUUUUUUAGUCUAAAGUUUUUUUUUUUUUGAGAGAAAUAGGUAGCACGCUAUGGGCAUGUUUGUUUGGGUGGAAGUGAGGUGGAAGUGGAGAGGAGGGAAGUCGUUUUCACCCUAAACGGCCACUUCCGUUGUUUGGUUCGCCGUAAAAAAAUUACGCUCGAAACUCGAGUUAAUCUCAAACGGCGUAAUUGACUUUGCCCCAUUGUGGACCGAAGUCAAUUACGAUGAAGAGAGGUGAAGAAAAACUAAUAAAAUAAUAUAAUAGAUAAAGAUAGUUAUAUUUAAAUAUACUUAAUUAUGUUACUAAUUAUUUUUUUAUUUAGUUAAUAUAUCUAAAAUAUGAUAAAAAUUGAUUAGUUAAGUUUUAAUAUUUUCUUUAUUUUGUUUGUACAUUUAAAAUAUGAUAAAAGUUGAUUAAUUAAGUAUUAAUAUUUUUUUUACUUUAUAAUUUUAUUAUUGUAUUACUAUAAUUUAUGUAUAAAAAAAUUAUUUAGUUGUUUUAAAAUAAAUUUUAAUUAUAUAAAAAUAUACUUAUAUUAUUUUUAUUUAUUAAAAUAUUUAUUAUUUAUAUAUAAAUUAUAUUUUUAUAUCAUACACUUUUACCAAAUAAACAGUAGAACUAAUGGAACUUCACUUCCAUAGCUACGAAACAAACAGCGAGGAAGAAGUAGUUUUUACCGAACUCCACUUCAACCCAAAGUCAAGUUUCGGUGAAACAAACAUGCCCAUCCGCUUCGUUUAUUUCAUUUAGAAAUAAACUUAAUUGAAAUGCGAAUCAAUUAAGAUUCGAAUUUGAGAUCUCGGGUACCAACAACCAAGCCUUUUGCUACUUGCGCUAGAGACGAUCGGUGUCUAAAGUUAAUAGUUGUAUUUGUAGAUUUGGUCAUACUUGAUAUGCUGUUGAGAGUUUAUCCUUAUAAUUUAUAAAAUUAUUUAGUUUUUUGAAAAAGUAUAAAAAUUUUUUUAGAAAAAAAUAUUUUAUGAAAUUUUUUUUUAAUUUUUGCCAGUUUGGGUUUUUUUAAAAAAAUUGUGUUUUUGAAAAACUUUUUCUCUAUAUUUUAUAAAUUAGUAUUUUCAUUUUUCUGAAAAAAAUGGGCAAAAUGAAAACACUAGUUCUUUCAUGACAUUUGAUUUUUUUUUUAAAUCUAGUUUUUAUUGAAAGCAAAUGAACGUUAAACUGCACUACAACAGAAUUACGUUAUAGGAAAAUAUUUUUAGGACACUUUUAUAGAAGUAUCUCAUUUAUGCCAAUUUUUUUUAAAAAAAUCCACUAAGGCCUAAAUAUAAAGCCCAAUCCAAUCAAAAAUAAAAAAUUUUUUUACUCAAUCAACCCUACCCAACCUACUCGGUCCGAUUACAAAUAGAAAAGGAAAAAAAA
rnacentral:lncRNA from 1 species